UACGUAGGGGGCGAGCGUUACCCGGAUUUACUGGGCGUAAAGGGGGCGUAGGCGGCCUGAAAGUCCGGUGUGAAAACUCACGGCUCAACCGUGGGACUGCGCUGGAAACUACACGGCUUGAGGACGGUAGAGGGAGACGGAACUGCUGGUGUAGGGGUGAAAUCCGUAGAUAUCAGCAGGAACGCCGGUGGAGAAGUCGGUCUCCUGGGCCGUUCCUGACGCUGAGGCCCGAAAGCUAGGGGAGCAAACCGG
rnacentral:rRNA from 1 species